AUGAAAGCCAUUAGUUGGAACUGUCGUGGAAUGCUCUCUUCCACGGCAGUUCGGGAGCUUCUGGAGCUCCAUGGUCGGACUCGUGCGGAUUUAUUUUUUCUUUCAGAGUCGCACUUGAAUAAAAAUAAAGCUGACAAGCUACGCUGUAAUUUAGGCUUUAAUUCCAUGUUUUUAGAUGAAAGUGAUGGAAAGUCUGGUGGUCUUGUACUUUUUUUAUCAAAAAGAGAAUAA
rnacentral:rRNA from 1 species